UACAGAGGGGGCGAGCGUUGUUCGGAAUUACUGGGCGUAAAGGGCGCGUAGGCGGCCCGCUAAGUCGAACGUGAAUCCCAGGCUCAACCUGGGAACUGCGUCCGAUACUGGCAGGCUUGAAUCCGGGAGAGGGAUGUGGAAUUCCAGGUGUAGCGGUGAAAUGGCGUAGAUAUCGUGGAGGAAUACCGGUGGCGAAGGCGGCAUCCUGGACCGAGAUUGACACUGAUGAGCGAAAGCUAGGGAGCAAACGGGAGUUAGA
rnacentral:rRNA from 1 species